CAAAUGUCCAAGGGAACAUUUUCAAAAUUCCCCAAGAGAACAGUGUUUUAUGAAAGAAUAGAGUCUAGUGAUCCGUAUAGCCACAGUAAGAAGCUGGGAGAGUUAAAACCAACUUUGAGGAGCCUAGCAAGAAUUGCGACACCGAUGGGUAAAAACUCGAUCUCUCCUCAUUCUUCCCUCCUUUCCUGUCCCUUCUCCUUGCUGCAUCUUCGUGAAACAGCACAGUUAUGGCAAAGGAGCUAUCCUGUACCAACACGAAGGAGAGAGUGGUAAAGGACCCCACAGAAAUGGAGGGAAUGAUAUUGACACAAAAAUGGCAACAAGAUCUAACUCCAGCGUCAAACUGAAGUAACAGCAGCUGCAGCAACUAAGAAUCUCAUUCUGUCCCCCCAGCUGGAGCACAGUGGUAUGAUCUCGGCUCACUGCAACCUCCGCCUCCCGGGUUCAAGUGAUUCUCCUGCCUCAGCCUCCCAAGUAGCUGGGACUACAGGUGCCUGCCACCAUGCCUGGCUGAUUUUUGUAUUUUUAGUAGAGACUGGGUUUCACCAUAUUGGCCAGGCUGGUCUUGAACUCCUGAACUUGUGAUCCGCCCGCCUCAGCCUCCCAAAGUACAUUAAUAACUUUUUAAAACUCUGAAUAUAAUAGGCAUUAAAGAUUUCUAGAAUGCCAUGGGUUCUGAGUCAU
rnacentral:lncRNA from 1 species